GAUGAACGCUAGUGACAGGCUUAACACAUGCAAGUCGAGGGGCAGCAUAAAAGUAGCAAUACUUUGGUGGCGACCGGCGCACGGGUGAGUAACGCGUAUGCAACCUACCUAUCAGAGGGGAAUAACCCGGCGAAAGUCGGACUAAUACCGCAUAAAACAGGGGCACCGCAUGGUGAUAUUUGUUAAAGAAAUUCGCUGAUAGAUGGGCAUGCGUUCCAUUAGGUAGUUGGUGAGGUAACGGCUCACCAAGCCGACGAUGGAUAGGGGAACUGAGAGGUUGGUCCCCCACACUGGUACUGAGACACGGACCAGACUCCUACGGGAGGCAGCAGUGAGGAAUAUUGGUCAAUGGGCGAGAGCCUGAACCAGCCAAGUCGCGUGAAGGAAGAAGGAUCUAUGGUUCGUAAACUUCUUUUGCAGGGGAAUAAAGUGCAGGACGUGUCCUGUUUUGUAUGUACCCUGAGAAUAAGGAUCGGCUAACUCCGUGCCAGCAGCCGCCGUAA
rnacentral:rRNA from 1 species